AUUGAACGCUGGCGGCAGGCUUAACACAUGCAAGUCGAGCGGAGAUGAGGUGCUUGCACCUUAUCUUAGCGGCGGACGGGUGAGUAAUGCUUAGGAAUCUGCCUAUUAGUGGGGGACAACAUUCCGAAAGGAAUGCUAAUACCGCAUACGUCCUACGGGAGAAAGCCGGGGAUCUUCGGACCUUGCGCUAAUAGAUGAGCCUAAGUCGGAUUAGCUAGAUGGUGGGGUAAAGGCCUACCAAGGCGACGAUCUGUAGCGGGUCUGAGAGGAUGAUCCGCCACACUGGGACUGAGACACAGCCCAGACGCCUACGGGAGGCAGCAGUGGGGAAUAUUGGACAAUGGGGGGAACCCUGAUCCAGCCAUGCCGCGUGUGUGAAGAAGGCCUUAUGGUUGUAAAGCACUUUAAGCGAGGAGGAGGCUACUGAGACUAAUACUCUUGGAUAGUGGACGUUACUCGCAGAAUAAGCACCGGCUAACUCUGUGCCAGCAGCCGCAGUAA
rnacentral:rRNA from 1 species